UACGGGGGGGGCAAGCGUUGUUCGGAAUUACUGGGCGUAAGGGGCUCGUAGGCGGCCAACUAAGUCAGACGUGAAAUCCCUCGGCUUAACCGGGGAACUGCGUCUGAUACUGGUUGGCUUGAGUGUGGGAGAGGGAUGCGGAAUUCCAGGUGUAGCGGUGAAAUGCGUAGAUAUCUGGAGGAACACCGGUGGCGAAGGCGGCAUCCUGGACCAUUACUGACGCUGAGGAGCGAAAGCCAGGGGAGCAAACGGG
rnacentral:rRNA from 1 species